AAGAGGAGCUGACCGACACUCAUUCAACGCCUGAGUGUUAACCUGCAAUGGUGCUGCACUGGAAACGUGAAGUUCCCUUCCGAGAACUUAUUCCGCUUGUUCUUACCUGUCCGCCCUCCGCCGCCGUCUACUACCUCUGGACCCUUGGAACCUCAAAAUACCCACUCGAAGAUCCUCCCCGAUCCUACGGCCCGGAACUCCCCCCCCAGCUCGUAAUCCACCCCGCCACAAUGUGUCAGCAGACCGCGAGCCGCUCCCUGGGAGACGCUUCCCGCCCGCGAUACAUCACCCUUUUUUCUUUGUAAAAUAAACCUUUAACGGAA